AAGCCUCGGGGUGUUAUCAUGACAGAUUGCAAAUCUGGAGAGGCAGGCUAAAACCUGCCGGGGCUUUCC
rnacentral:tRNA from 1 species